CCUACGGGUGGCAGCAGUGAGGAAUAUUGGUCAAUGGGCGGAAGCCUGAACCAGCCAAGUAGCGUGCAGGAUGACGGCCCUACGGGUUGUAAACUGCUUUUAUACGGGAAUAACGCGCCUUACGUGUAGGUCUUUGCAUGUACCGUAUGAAUAAGGACCGGCUAAUUCCGUGCCAGCAGCCGCGGUAAUCCGGAGGGUCCGGGCGUUAUCCGGAUUUAUUGGGUUUAAAGGGAGCGUAGGCCGCAUGUCAAGCGUGCUGUGAAAUGGCCGGGCUCAACCCGGGCCUUGCAGCGCGAACUGGCGGGCUUGAGUCAGCGGAAAGCAGGCGGAAGUCGUGGUGUAGCGGUGAAAUGCUUAGAUAUGACGAAGAACCCCGAUGGCGAAGGCAGCUUGCUGGAGCGGAACUGACGCUGAUGCUCGAAAGCGAGGGUAUCGAACAGGAUUAGAUACCCCUGUAGUC
rnacentral:rRNA from 1 species